CAAAAACAUCGCCUCUUGCCUAAUUAUAAGAGGUCCAGCCUGCCCAGUGACUUUGUUCAACGGCCGCGGUAUCCUAACCGUGCGAAGGUAGCGUAAUCACUUGUUCUUUAAAUGAGGACUAGUAUGAAUGGCCCCACGAGGGCUGCACUGUCUCCUUUUUCUAAUCAAUGAAACUAAUCUCCCCGUGAAGAAGCGGGGAUAAUUCUAUAAGACGAGAAGACCCUAUGGAGCUUUAAACAACUGAAACAUUUGCUUUUCUCUUAGCAUCUCCCGAGCUCUUAAUUUUACUCAAGCAUUUUUAUUUCUAGUUUUAGGUUGGGGUGACCACGGAGUAAAACUUAACCUCCAUGAAGAAAUGAAUAUUUUUAAGCCACAAACCACUUUUUUAAGCAUCAACAAAUUGACCUUCAUUGACCCAAUAUAUUGAUCAACGAACCAAGUUACCCUAGGGAUAACAGCGCAAUCUACUUCAAGAGCUCAUAUCGACAAGUAGGUUUACGACCUCGAUGUUGGAUCAGGGUAUCCUAGUGGUGCAGCCGCUACUAAUGGUUCGUUUGUUCAACGAUUAAAACCCUACGUGAUCU
rnacentral:rRNA from 1 species